GGAGACUUGUCCGAGUGGUUUAAGGUGCGAUGUUGGAAGCGUCGUGUGGUUCACGCCACCAUGAGUUCGAAUCUCAUAGUCUCCGCCA
rnacentral:tRNA from 1 species